AUUGAACGCUGGCGGCAGGCUUAACACAUGCAAGUCGAGCGGGGUGAUGGUGCUUGCACUAUCACUUAGCGGCGGACGGGUGAGUAAUGCUUAGGAAUCUGCCUAUUAGUGGGGGACAACAUCUCGAAAGGGAUGCUAAUACCGCAUACGUCCUACGGGAGAAAGCAGGGGAUCACUUGCGACCUUGCGCUAAUAGAUGAGCCUAAGUCGGAUUAGCUGGUUGGUGGGGUAAAGGCCUACCAAGGCGACGAUCUGUAGCGGGUCUGAGAGGAUGAUCCGCCACACUGGGACUGAGACACGGCCCAGACUCCUACGGGAGGCAGCAGUGGGGAAUAUUGGACAAUGGGGGGAACCCUGAUCCAGCCAUGCCGCGUGUGUGAAGAAGGCCUUAUGGAUGUAAAGCACUUUAAGCGAGGAGGAGGCUCUUUUGGUUAAUACCCAAGAUGAGUGGACGUUACUCGCAGAAUAAGCACCGGCUAACUCUGUGCCAGCCGCCGCCGUAA
rnacentral:rRNA from 1 species